rnacentral:tRNA from 1 species
GGGGUUGUAGCUCAGUGGUUGAGCGCUUGCUUCGCAUGCAUGAAGCACUGGGUUCAAUCCUCAGCACCA